CCUACGGGAGGCAGCAGUGGGGAAUUUUGGACAAUGGACGAAAGUCUGAUCCAGCCAUUCCGCGUGCAGGACGAAGGCCUUCGGGUUGUAAACUGCUUUUGUACGGAACGAAAAAGCCUUGGCUAAUACCCGGGGUCCAUGACGGUACCGUAAGAAUAAGCACCGGCUAACUACGUGCCAGCAGCCGCGGUAAUACGUAGGGUGCGAGCGUUAAUCGGAAUUACUGGGCGUAAAGCGUGCGCAGGCGGUUUUGUAAGACAGAGGUGAAAUCCCCGGGGCUCAACCUGGGAACUGCCUUUGUGACUGCAAGGCUAGAGUGCGGCAGAGGGGGAUGGAAUUCCGCGUGUAGCAGUGAAAUGCGUAGAUAUGCGGAGGAACACCGAUGGCGAAGGCAAUCCCCUGGGCCUGCACUGACGCUCAUGCACGAAAGCGUGGGGAGCAAACAGGAUUAGAUACCCUGGUAGUCCACGCCCUAAACGAUGUCAACUGGUUGUUGGGUCUUUGCUGACUCAGUAACGAAGCUAACGCGUGAAGUUGACCGCCUGGGGAGUACGGCCGCAAGGUUGAAACUCAAAGGAUUGACGGCUGAGAGNGCGAGACGACGACGAGGGAGAGG
rnacentral:rRNA from 1 species